GGGUGAGUAACACGUGGGUAACCUGCCCUAAAGUCUGGGAUACCACUUGGAAACAGGUGCUAAUACCGGAUAACAACAAUAGCUGCAUGGCUAUUGCUUAAAAGGCGGCGAAAGCUGUCGCUAAAGGAUGGACCCGCGGUGCAUUAGCUAGUUGGUAAGGUAAUGGCUUACCAAGGCGACGAUGCGUAGCCGAGUUGAGAGACUGAUCGGCCACAUUGGGACUGAGACACGGCCCAAACUCCUACGGGAGGCAGCAGUAGGGAAUCUUCCACAAUGGGCGAAAGCCUGAUGGAGCAACGCCGCGUGAGUGAAGAAGGUUUUCGGAUCGUAAAGCUCUGUUGUUGGUGAAGAAGGAUAGAGGUAGUAACUGGCCCCUAUUUGACGGUAAUCAACCAGAAAGUCACGGCUAACUACGUGCCAGCAGCCGCGGUAAUACGUAGGUGGCAAGCGUUGUCCGGAUUUAUUGGGCGUAAAGCGAGCGCAGGCGGAAAGAUAAGUCUGAUGUGAAAGCCCCCGGCUUAACCGAGGAAUUGCAUCGGAAACUGUGUUUCUUGAGUGCAGAAGAGGAGAGUGGAACUCCAUGUGUAGCGGUGGAAUGCGUAGAUAUAUGGAAGAACACCAGUGGCGAAGGCGGCUCUCUGGUCUGUAACUGACGCUGAGGCUCGAAAGCAUGGGUAGCGAACAGGAUUAGAUACCCUGGUAGUCCAUGCCGUAAACGAUG
rnacentral:rRNA from 1 species